rnacentral:rRNA from 1 species
AACGAACGCUGGCGGCAGGCUUAACACAUGCAAGUCGAACGCAACCUUCGGGGUGAGUGGCAGACGGGUGAGUAACGCGUGGGAACGUGCCCUUCAGUUCGGGAUAACCCAGGGAAACUUGGGCUAAUACCGGAUACGUGCGAGAGCAGAAAGAUUUAUCGCUGAAGGAUCGGCCCGCGUCUGAUUAGCUAGUUGUGGGGGUAAUGGCCCACCAAGGCGACGAUCAGUAGCUGGUCUGAGAGGAUGAUCAGCCACAUUGGGACUGAGACACGGCCCAAACUCCUACGGGAGGCAGCAGUGGGGAAUAUUGGACAAUGGGCGCAAGCCUGAUCCAGCCAUGCCGCGUGAGUGAUGAAGGCCUUAGGGUUGUAAAGCUCUUUCGUCCGGGACGAUAAUGACGGUACCGGAAGAAGAAGCCCCGGCUAACUUCGUGCCAGCCGCCGCCGUAA